rnacentral:lncRNA from 1 species
ACAUUACAUUCAGCUUGGGUUUGCUAAUGAGUGCAUAUUGCUCACGACCCUUCACCCUCAUUGUUCUAUCUUCUUUUUCUUCUUCCCAAACAGGCUGUCAGCAGCAGCUUCCUCAAAGGAGAAGGCAGAGGAGUUGCUUGGAAAAGAGAAGCAAAAGGGUGAAAUACUCAGAGUUGUGUGUGUGCGGCAGCAGCAGGCCUUGCGAGCAACUCUGUCAGUGCUUCACACCUGCGUCAGCGAGCUCACCGAUGUACGUGGUUUCCUCAGCCAGCUGACGGAGGUUUGGCAGCUCUUCAGAUCUCAGAUACUGCAGUACAGCACGCAGGUGUCCUCAGUGCUGACAGAGGAGCUGAAGCAUUCCAGAGAGGAGUUUCAGAAAAUGAGAGAAGAGAAAGAGCACGUAACUCAGCAGCUGAUGUGUCUACAGGAGCAGAAGAGACUGCGUGAAGAGCAGCUGUCCCAACAUGAAGAGUCCGAGAGAGAGCACAGACAAGAACUACUAAGGUUAAAAGGGGAAUUGGAGGAGACACAGGAGAAGUGGUUGUCAUGCCAACGAAAGUGUGACACCAUACAGGAGCAGCUGUUGUCACGGCAACAGAGAGAGGAACAAAUGGCCCGGAAGUGCAACGCAGCUGAGGAGGAAGUGACACGUCUGGGAAAAACUCUGGAGAAGGUCCAACAGGAAACAGGAGAGCUGAGGAGAGAAAGGUCAUGAUAGUGAUAAUUCUGUUCUAUUCUAUUCUAUUCUAUUCUAUUCUAUUCUAUUCUAUUAACAUCAGUAAAUUGGCCACUACACAGAAGGAUUC